CCGAAUUGCUCACCAAUUCUGUUGAUCCCCUGAACUCAAUGUUCGAUCUGUAUGUUGGUUCGGGAUUAGUUAUGCCCUGUCUGAUGUGGGUGAUUUGGACUGUUCUGCUGGUUGAGUGCAAGGGGCGCCAUUUACCUGUUCGCGCUUGUCUUGUUUUAUGGAUUGGUUCUAAUUGGAUCAUUUCUUCAUGAGUGUUCGAAAUUUGGGGAUCAUUGUUCUCAUUUGAGGCGCGACUAACCUUUUCUACACUUCUUUGUGGACCUCGCGUUGCUUCUGAACUAUUUUGAACUGUUGCCCAGGUUGUAUCAGAUGCUGAAGGAAUGGUUGUUGAGGGAAUGCUAGGCCUGACUGGUUCUCGGGAUGACUCAAAAUAAUUUCCUGUACUUGACAGAGGAGGAUUUUGACUAGAGUCUGAUUCUUUGAAGGCUGUAGAGGCAUGUCCAAACGAUGCAUCUAUGUUGAUUUUGAGUACACCGGGUCUCGGGGACUGCCAUUUGCUUUGAUAUGAUGGGGAUUAAGGGGACUCUUCCUAAAAAUAAAAUGGUUUAUGGCCUUCCAAAUACACCAAAGUGCUGACGCAAUCAGGGAUGGGUCAUUCCAAAGCUGAGUUGUCCAUGGGCAGAGAAGGAGUGUAUGCUCGAUAGUCUCCGGUUCAAGAUUGCAUAUUGGACAUACAGGUGCAGGUACAACUUUUCUUUUGUAUAAGUUGUCCAAUGUAGGUAAAGCAUUCUGGCAAGCACUCCAUAGGAAAAAUUUUAUUUUUGGUUGUAUAGCUGCAUUCCAGAUGUGUUUCCAU